GCUCGGCAGCCCAUCCUGCAUCACUUCAGUGGACUUCUCUGACAUCUACUAGACCACAUUAAAUGAAUCACAGCCUUGAAACUGAACUGGAAGGACUUCCUUCAAGGAGCCAGCAUAUGAACUUGCUGCCUAUCUUUAGCAAGGAGAUGCAAAUGACAUCCACAAACCUCUUCUGCUGUAUACCUGGAUGAAAGCAAGGCUAGCUGUGUGUCCGAUGGCACCAAGGACUGAAAGAUUGUAAGAAGUAAGAGUAAGUAAAUUUUUAGCUGCUAUAUUCCCUAAUAGCUAGACUUUAAAAGUAUUUUUAACUCUUUUCCUCUAUUCUUGCUAGGUGAACAAGGCUAAAACCUGGGUUUAGUUUUCAUUUUAUAAAUUAUUCUUUAAAAAUAAAUUAUUUCAACUGUCUUGAAGAGUCUGUAAAACAAGGUCUGUGAAGUCACAGAGGGAAAAAGAAUCAGAAAUCAGUAGACAGCAGUUAGACCACGGGUGUUUGUUAUACAUUCGUUCUAGACAUUCAUCAAAAGCUCAGAAAGGGAAAGUCAAGCGUGCCAAAUCAAUAAAGUUUCUAUCGUAUUUCGGGGAAAGUGAUCCAAAAAGGUGGAACACCUAAUGUACAGCCCCAAGGAAGGAGCAUACUUGGAGAAUUCAAGGAACAGAAAGAAAAACAGGAAGGCUGGAGUGAAACUGAUUAAAUAAAGCAUCGUAACAUUAGAGGUCCAUCAUAGAGGCCAAGCCAAAUACAACUAUGUUUUCAAGCAUAAGAUGGAUAGAUGUGGUAAACCACAAGAAGCAAACAGCCCUUUAGAGGUGUGGAUUGACCUUGCAGAGUUACAAGUGGAGCCAGGAGAAAUCAUGUUGAGUGGGACUUCUCAUCCUACCUAAGAGAGACUAACAGAUGGAAAGCUGGGUACAGAAGGGAGAGAAGGCAGUAACAGUCAGAUUUCAAUACGCUGAGACUGUGACGUGGGACUUUUGAGUGAGUAACAUCUGCUCCUAGAACUGAGUUGAGUGGGGAUCCUCCCACACCACCCAGGCAAGAGAACUAACAAUUGAUGACUGCUCCAAAUCAGUCGCCAGUCUACCUAAUACUUCUACCUGGUAGGUAGCCUGAUACCCACUAACAUCAAGUUCAGUAGAGUUAUUCUUUAUGAAAAUAUAUAUAGUAAUUGAAAGAAGCUUAAUAUUUGGCAUCUCUAAUUUUUAAAAAGUAGUAAACACAUAUUAUGCACCUCUUAUGUCUUCUUUUUCCUUAAACCUUUCUACCUACUGACUUUCUUUCUUUUCUUAAAGACAGAGCCUCACUCUGUCACCCAGGCUGGAGUGCUAGAGUGCAGUGGCAUGAUCAUAGCUCCCUGAAGCCUUGAGCUCCUGGUCCCAAGAGAUCCUCUUGCCUCAGUGACCUACAUCCAAAGUGAAAAGUUAUUCAGCCUCUGAAGAGAAGCAUUUUGUUUGGGGAUCUUCAAGUAUGCUUGUCAGCACCGAGAACUGGAAAAAAAUCUCUGAUUGUCCUGCAGCAAUGGCAUUAAAGGCUCCUCAUAACAUACAGAACCAGAAUUGUGCCAUAAUUUACUGAAAUUGAACAUUGCUCUGUGACUGCUAAUUUUCCAUCGAGAUGAUUCUGUCUCUAACCAAGAAAAGAAAAGUUUGUCUUCCUGACUGCUGACACUGCUGACCAAGCCCACCACCAGAUGCCUGGCUGCACACCCAGAGGGCAGCCGCUUCCCGUGGUCCUCUCGAAGAACUUCCCUUUUGCAAUGCAUGUUUAGCAAGUGGAUGAGUUUGUCUUUUCUGAUUUCUCUGCAAGCUCUGCAUUGCCCACCUGAACCAGUGCUUCAGAAGAACUAAUGGGAUCUCUGACCCUCCAACAUCCUCUUCCAGACUUUCACUUUCCUGGCUCCUUGCAGGGACAUGUAAUAAACGUGCUCUCCAG
rnacentral:lncRNA from 1 species